UACGAAGGGGGCUAGCGUUGCUCGGAAUCACUGGGCGUAAAGGGUGCGUAGGCGGGUCUUUAAGUCAGGGGUGAAAUCCUGGAGCUCAACUCCAGAACUGCCUUUGAUACUGAGGAUCUUGAGUUCGGGAGAGGUGAGUGGAACUGCGAGUGUAGAGGUGAAAUUCGUAGAUAUUCGCAAGAACACCAGUGGCGAAGGCGGCUCACUGGCCCGGUACUGACGCUGAGGUGCGAAAGCGUGGGAGCAAACAGGG
rnacentral:rRNA from 1 species